AUCGCUUCUCGGCCUUUUGGCUAAGAUCAAGUGUAGUAUUUUUAACUGACAAAUAUUUUAUGGAUUCAAGGUGAUUUUUCAAUACAUGUGUAUACCCACAUACAUGGUAAAUGAUCCAUUCAGGCUAAUUAACAUAUUCAUC
rnacentral:snRNA from 1 species